rnacentral:rRNA from 1 species
UACGAAGGGUGCAAGCGUUAAUCGGAAUUACUGGGCGUAAAGCGUGCGUAGGCGGUUUGUUAAGUCUGCUGUGAAAUCCCCGGGCUCAACCUGGGAAUGGCAGUGGAUACUGGCAAGCUAGAGUGUGUCAGAGGAUGGGUGGAAUUCCCGGUGUAGCGGUGAAAUGGCGUAGAGAGUCGGGAGGAACAUCGAGUGGCGGAAGG